UGAUUACUUGGUUAUGUUUGAUCUUUUGAUUAGAUUCUAUUCAAACGUUUCCAUACAUAAUUAAGAGUAAACUAAUGAUUAUAUAAAUCUUAAACCUAACGACACUUGGUUUUUGAUAAUGCGUUUGAUCCUGCCUUCUCUGGCGUGUAUGGACUCUUUGACAAAAAGUCGUCGUUUGCUUUUAUAUCAAGGAAAAGAAAAGAAAAAAAACUUAUAACAUAGAGAGCACAUGAUUCCAACUUUCUUGGCAAUCCAACGGCUAUUACUCAUCCGUAAGGUCUUUUGUCAUAUCGUGCCGACACGAUGGUCCGCAAACUUUGG
rnacentral:lncRNA from 1 species